GCCACCAGCAUCAGCCAUGCUCUGCAUAGUGCCUUGUUCAGGAAGGUGUUUUUCAUACAGAUGAAUGUUUGAAUGGCACCCUUCUGAGCAGAGUAAUGUGCAACAUGGACGACAUUUGUGGUGGC
rnacentral:pre_miRNA from 1 species